rnacentral:lncRNA from 1 species
UCUCCUUUGCUCUCUCGUACAUAGUAAUUCCCGACCACGCCGACCACGCCUCAAAAUCGUCUUGUUCGGAGCAAUCAUUGAUUUCGUCCCCGCAUCUCGCCUCCUUCUUCGUUCCUCUUUCUGCCGGAAUUGUUUCUUUCGUCAGCGAAGGAUUUUUUCCGCCGUUAACUUGUGGUUGGUUUUUCUUGUCGUCGUCUUUCUCUGGCCCCAUAAGAAAAAUGUAAAACUCCAAUCCCAAGAUAUCGACAGCCGACAUCGUGAAAGGGGGUUCCGCGAUGAAGUCCUGCGGCCGUUCUUCCAUCAGUUUAGCAAUGUUUGGUUGCAACAUUCUGACCACUCCUCACUUGAAAUUAUUUUGUAAAAGAGCUGUAUAUAAUAUAUAUAGAUAUAGAUA